rnacentral:lncRNA from 1 species
CCGGCCCCGGUUGGGGUGUCUCGCGCUGGGUGACAGCUCGCGCGUGCUGAUGAUGGCGGGCUUUGAAGCUGUGCUGCCUUUCUGUGAUGAUGACCUAAGUAGUAAUUAAAUUCCUGAAGAACUGCCAAGUCUCCUAUUGGCUGAAAUGGGGAUGUUCCAGGCUCUGGUCAUUGAGUUGCGAAAAAAAGACUGUUUAAACAUGACACAACAUACUCAAUUGUGCAUUAUGUCAGAAUGCACGUGUGAAAAAUCCUGGAAUGUAUUUUCUACCUGCAGUUUCGGUGAAAGGAGGUUAAAGC